rnacentral:rRNA from 1 species
AUUGAACGCUGGCGGCAGGCCUAACACAUGCAAGUCGAACGAGUGGCGGACGGGUGAGUAAUGUCUGGGAAACUGCCUGAUGGAGGGGGAUAACUACUGGAAACGGUAGAUAAUACCGCAUACCAUCGGAUGUGCCCAGAUGGGAUUAGCUAGUAGGUGGGGGAAAGGCGCACAUAGGCGACGAUCCCUAGCUGGUCUGAGAGGAUGACCAGCCACACUGUAACUUAGACACGGUCCAGACUCCUACGGGAGGCAGCAGUGGGAAAUAUUACACAAUGGGAGCAAGCCUGAUGCAGCCAUGCCGCUUGUAUGAAGAAGGCCUGCGGGUUGUAAAGUACUUUCAGCGUGGAGGCGUUACCCGCAGAAGAAGCGCCGACUAACUCCGUGCCAGCAGCCGCGGUAAUUC